UACGUAGGGUGCAAGCGUUUGUCCGGAAUUAUUGGGCGUAAAGGGCGUGUAGGCGGUCCGUUAAGUCUGAUGUGAAAGCCCUGGGCUCAACCCAGGAAGUGCAUUGGAAACUGGCGGACUUGAGUACGGGAGAGGGCAGUGGAAUUCCUAGUGUAGGAGUGAAAUCCGUAGAUAUUAGGAGGAACACCGGUGGCGAAGGCGGCUGCCUGGACCGAUACUGACGCUGAGGCGCGAAAGCGUGGGGAGCGAACGGG
rnacentral:rRNA from 1 species